rnacentral:lncRNA from 1 species
AAAAGAAAAACAAAACAAAACAAACAAACAAAAAAACCUAACAAAAACCCCCAAAGUCUCCUUUCACAGGUUUCCAGAUGGCAAGAUCUGUUCUGCUUCCCUGCUCGGCCUCCCAAGAAAGGCAAGGCUUCCAACUCAGACUCAGGGUCUCUAAAUUUGGCCUUCCUCCUCAGGAAAGGAGCAGUGACAGACAGUACUGCAGAAAGACUUAGGAGCCGAUGGGAAAGUGCCAGGCCUGGUUCUGGUCACUGUAUCAGGUCCCUGGGCCUGGAAGAAGGCCCAACUCCCUUGAGGAUGGUCUUCUAGCAGAAGCAUUAGAUUGCUAAACUCAUACAGCACCGAAGCUGCUGGCAGUAACUGCUCAGAUAAGUCACGUGGCCAGAGUUACCGUUAACAGCUGAAACGUUCCCCUCAAAGAGUUGUGUGUUAAGGGUCUGACUGACAGCUGAUGUACUGACUGGAUCAUGAGGACUUGGAUGUUUGGCUGUUACAAUGUUCACUUCACCUCUUGUCCAAAGCAACAGAGGUGAAUAAAACCUGUGAAACCAGGAGCCAAAGGCAUCUCACCACAGUUUAGAUUGUUCAUAUUGCGUUUGUCACAUGAUGAAAGGUGACCUUCACAUAGCCCAACCCAAAGUCAAUGUUCACUUCUGACAGGAAGCAACACCGUAAGCUGAACCCUCCCAGGAAGCAAAGAACCAGUAUUUCUGUGUCUUCUCUGCAUCGUUUUCUGGGAUGACAACACCCAUCCCUGGAUCCUAAGUACUAGGAUGUAGUUUGGUCUCAAACUCACUGUGGAGCCUUGGAUGCCCUUAAACCUCUGAUCUUCCUGCUUCCAUCCUGGAAUGCUGACCUUACAAGGGAGAUUCUCCACACCUGGUUUAUUCAGUGCUAGGGAACUGAACUUCCUACGUGCUAGGCGAGCUCUCUACCAACUGAGCCCUAGCCCUAGAUUCUUUGAAUCUUGAUGAUCCCCCAAAGGCUCUAGUGUUAAAGGCUUCGUCCCCAGAGUGGUGAUAUUAGGAGGUGGUGGAACCCUUCAGAGAAGGAGCCGAACUUGACCUGGCUGUUAAGGGAUAAGGGGAUGUGGACCUGUUGUCCUUCUGGUGUGUCUGAAGACAGCUAAAGUGUACUCAUAUAAAUUAAAUAAAUAAAU